rnacentral:rRNA from 1 species
UGGGGAAUAUUGCACAAUGGGGGAAACCCUGAUGCAGCAACGCCGCGUGAGUGAUGACGGCCUUCGGGUUGUAAAGCUCUGUCUUUGGGGACGAUAAUGACGGUACCCAAGGAGGAAGCCACGGCUAACUACGUGCCAGCAGCCGCGGUAAUACGUAGGUGGCAAGCGUUGUCCGGAUUUACUGGGCGUAAAGGAGCGUAGGCGGAUUUUUAAGUGGGAUGUGAAAUACCCGGGCUCAACCUGGGUGCUGCAUUCCAAACUGGAAAUCUAGAGUGCAGGAGGGGAAAGUGGAAUUCCUAGUGUAGCGGUGAAAUGCGUAGAGAUUAGGAAGAACACCAGUGGCGAAGGCGACUUUCCGGACUGUAACUGACGCUGAGGCUCGAAAGCGU